UGUUUCGGCUAGGGGGCCAUCCCGGCUUACCAACCCGAUGCAAACUGCGAAUACCGGAGAAUGUUAUCACGGGAGACACACGGCGGGUGCUAACGUCCGUCGUGAAGAGGGAAACAACCCAGACCGCCAGCUAAGGUCCCAAAGUCAUGGUUAAGUGGGAAACGAUGUGGGAAGGCCCAGACAGCCAGGAUGUUGGCUUAGAAGCAGCCAUCAUUUAAAGAAAGCGUAAUAGCUCACUGGUCGAGUCGGCCUGCGCGGAAGAUGUAACGGGGCUAAA
rnacentral:rRNA from 2 species